CGGCACUACCGCACGCGCCCGCACGAGUGGUGCCGAGCUGCCGUGACUGCUAUAAAAUCUGGACAUGGCCUGGACUUAACUCCUUCAUUAAGAAAUAGCAGGGCUCUUUGGUGUAGGUACCUAAAAGGUUAAGCGAAAAAAAAUUGUAUCAGAGACAAAUCACUAUCUGAUAUAGAAUACUUUAUUAUUUCCACAUCAGGGGAAUAAAGUCUUAACAAAAACAAUUUUUUUUCUAAACAGAAAAGAGGGUAUCUUCUUUCUCCAAUCGCAGUGCUUUGAACCCUCUAAUCGUUUCUAGGUAUUUGAGGAAUUUACGAAGACUUAGAGAAGAAACAGAGUAGUCAGCAACCUGCUCAAGAAGUACAGGGAAAGAGGAGAAAAGGACUGCCAGCUUUGGAGAAUCUGGAAGAGAAAAAAACAACAACAGAAACACGAAGAGACCUGUGAAGUACCAACCAAGUUUUGUCUCUGAAUCAUAUUUCAAGA